GUGCCAGCCGCCGCGGUAAGACAGAGGUGGCGAGCGUUGUUCGGAUUUACUGGGCGUAAAGCGCACGCAGGCGGUUUGGUAAGUCAGAGGUGAAAUUCCGCAGCUUAACUGCGGAACUGCCUUUGAUACUGCCUUUCUCGAGUGCAUGAGGGGGAAGCGGAAUUCCGAGUGUAGAGGUGAAAUUCGUAGAUAUUCGGAGGAACACCGGUGGCGAAGGCGGCUUCCUGGCAUGUAACUGACGCUCAUGUGCGAAAGCGUGGGGAGCAAACAGGAUUAGAAACCCUUGUAGUCC
rnacentral:rRNA from 1 species